rnacentral:lncRNA from 1 species
GGGGAGGCCAAAGUAGGAGCUGUUCCAUGUCCACAUCUCUAGUAAAAGUUUGCUAGGAAGAAUGUAACAUUUGUAGAAUAAGAUUUGUAUAUGGCCUAACCACUGCCUUAUAAAUUGAGACCCGGUACUACUACCUUUUUGGGGGACUCAGAAACAGAAUUUGAUGAUUAUAGAACAAUUCAUGUGCAAGACUCUUGGUUAAAAAGAACUGCUGAGGAAAACUCAGAAAUUCAACUAAUUUCUAAAUAGGUCAUUUACAGGCAAAGAACCAUAGUACUCGUUGACCUGAACAGAGC